GAUGAACGCUGGCGGCGUGCCUAAUACAUGCAAGUCGAGCGAACAGACGAGGAGCUUGCUCCUCUGACGUUAGCGGCGGACGGGUGAGUAACACGUGGAUAACCUACCUAUAAGACUGGGAUAACUUCGGGAAACCGGAGCUAAUACCGGAUAAUAUAUUGAACCGCAUGGUUCAAUAGUGAAAGACGGUUUUGCUGUCACUUAUAGAUGGAUCCGCGCCGCAUUAGCUAGUUGGUAAGGUAACGGCUUACCAAGGCAACGAUGCGUAGCCGACCUGAGAGGGUGAUCGGCCACACUGGAACUGAGACACGGUCCAGACUCCUACGGGAGGCAGCAGUAGGGAAUCUUACGCAAUGGGCGAAAGCCUGACGGAGCAACGCCGCGUGAGUGAUGAAGGUCUUCGGAUCGUAAAACUCUGUUAUUAGGGAAGAAAAAAUGUGUAAGUAACUAUGCACGUCUUGACGGUACCUAAUCAGAAAGCCACGGCUAACUACGUG
rnacentral:rRNA from 1 species